rnacentral:rRNA from 1 species
UACGUAGGGUGCAAGCGUUGUCCGGAAUUAUUGGGCGUAAAGAGCUCGUAGGCGGUGUGUCGCGUCGGCCGUGAAAACUUGCAGCUUAACUGUGGGCGUGCGGUCGAUACGGGCAUCACUGGAGUUCGGCAGGGGAGACUGGAAUUCCUGGUGUAGCGGUGAAAUGCGCAGAUAUCAGGAGGAACACCGGUGGCGAAGGCGGCAUCCUGGGCCGGCAUUGACGCUGAGGAGCGAAAGCCAGGGGAGCAAACGGG